rnacentral:rRNA from 1 species
UCAGGCCUAACACAUGCAAGUCGAGCGGGGUUUUCGGACCUAGCGGCGGACGGGUGAGUAAUGCGUAGGAAGCUACCCGACAGAGGGGGAUACCAGUUGGAAACGACUGUUAAUACCGCAUAAUGUCUACGGACCAAAGUGUGGGACCUUCGGGCCACAUGCUGUCGGAUGCGCCUACGUGGGAUUAGCUAGUUGGUGAGGUAAUGGCUCACCAAGGCGACGAUCCCUAGCUGGUUUGAGAGGAUGAUCAGCCACACUGGAACUGAGACACGGUCCAGACUCCUACGGGAGGCAGCAGUGGGGAAUAUUGGACAAUGGGCGCAAGCCUGAUCCAAAGAGGCCGCGUGUGUAAAGAAGGCCUUCGGG